UUGAAAGGGAAACGAUUGAAGUCAGUCGUACCAGCGGGAAAUCAACCUUUCGAGUGGGGGUUUGGAGUUUUGAAGUGUGUCAAAACCUUUGAGAUUUUAAAAUUUUCGCUCUUUUGGUGUACUUUCUCGUGGGUAGGUUAACAUCGAUUUUGAUCAUCAUAAAAAGACUGGAGGAAUGUAGCUUCGAUCUUGUAUUGAAGUGUUAUAGCCUUUGGUAAAUGUGAUGACUAGGAUCGAGGAUUGCAACGAAUACCCUUUUGGGCUAUCCGCCUGAUCUCUGAUACGUGGCCUUGGCAUCGAAAGCUUGCUUAUGGUAUCAAGGUAUUACGGUCAAAAGGUUAGAACGGAUUACAUUCGUUAAGGAUGUUGACGUA
rnacentral:rRNA from 1 species